GUAGAAGACUGAACCUGGAACCACAUAUUCUAAAACUGAAGCAAUAUGGAGAAGAUAAGCAUGGCCCUAAGCAAGGAUAUGUAAAUUUGUGAAGCAUUCCAUAUCUUU
rfam:Octopus bimaculoides Scaffold28072_contig_8, whole genome shotgun sequence.